rnacentral:misc_RNA from 1 species
AACUCUCAAGCUGGAUGGGCUUUUAUUAGUCUGUCUUGGUUUGGAUGUGGACUCUUGCUGUGUUACAACGGCUGGUCUUAAAGGCAUUAGCUGAAUCUUGAUUGGGACUUGGUUCUUACUCGGCGUGAUAAUUAUCUGACCGCUGAGGACAUCUUUUGGGAUGGCCAGACUCUCUCUCGAAUCGCUUCUAACAUGCCGGAAAACUCUCUCUGGGACUUUUCCGUGCACUUUUCAAC